UGCCUAAUACAUGCAAGUCGAGCGACCCCCCUUAAGAGCUUGCUCUUAUGAAGUUAGCGGCGGACGGGUGAGUAACACGUGGGUAACCUACCCAUAAGACUGGGAUAACUCCGGGAAACCGGGGCUAAUACCGGAUAAUAUUUUGAACUGCAUAGUUCGAAAUUGAAAGGCGGCUUCGGCUGUCACUUAUGGAUGGACCCGCGUCGCAUUAGCUAGUUGGUGAGGUAACGGCUCACCAAGGCGACGAUGCGUAGCCGACCUGAGAGGGUGAUCGGCCACACUGGGACUGAGACACGGCCCAGACUCCUACGGGAGGCAGCAGUAGGGAAUCUUCCGCAAUGGACGAAAGUCUGACGGAGCAACGCCGCGUGAGUGAUGAAGGCUUUCGGGUCGUAAAACUC
rnacentral:rRNA from 1 species